ensembl:lncRNA
GGGAUGGUCAGAGGAGUGGAGCAGUCAAGAGCUGUGUUAUGAAUGUCAGGGGAGGAAAGCUUCUAGAAGGGUGCAUUUGUUCAGGGGCCUUUUCUUUCAGACAGAUCUUAUAGCAGGCUGUGGUGCUGCAAGCUUUGGGCCUGACUCCCAGCUCCAAUUGUUACUUACAUGAUUUCUUGAGCAAGUUAAUCUUUCAGAGCCUCUGUUUCCUCAUGUAUAAAAUGAGUAUUACAUUACCUCCGUACGAUAGAUUCUGGUUCCCAGACCCUGAAACUGCCUGCCAAGAAAGAAUCGCACAUCUAUCUGAGUAAUCUCUAUUUUUAUCCUGAAAAACGGAGAAAAGAAUUUCCUAAACCACUGGGAUGAGCUGCUGUUUACUAUUACCUCCAGAAUGAGGACCACUGUGUUCGUGAAGGGACCUCUGGAAAUGGCUGUAGAAGGCUUCCUGCUGGACAGAUGGCUGAGAAGCUGUUGAGGAACCGGAGACUUCUGUGUGAGAACUCGGAGGAACAUGUCACUCGGUCUCCGAACAAGGAAAGGGGAGCUAUUGCUGAGGAACUGGUUUUCUUUUCUCUUUCAUACAUUUCACAAGAUUGCCCUGUCGGCACAGCGCUCGAUGGACACAGCAGCUAGUGGGUCUGCUAUCUUGGUGGGCGUAGCAGGAGGCAAGUCUAUCGUCUGGAACUGGGCGGUCACAGGCACCUGCCUUGGAGACUUCUAUUUAUUCAUCUCACAUGAGCUCACUGUCCCUUCUGAGUUAAGCCCUUUGAGAUCCCAGUGCCCAGCACAGUGCAACCAACACUCAAUGAACUCUCGAGGCCGCCCACUGUGGAGUCAGGACUGCCCUCUCAUCUGCCCCCAGAGCCCUCAGCUCACUGUCCCUCCAGGAGAGCAUUUCUUAGAUCACUAUCCAUGCGGCAGAUAAGCUGGAAGCAGAGAAACUGAAAGCAAAAUGUUGGAGGCCUUGCUGAAGAAACAGUCAUCAGGAACAGUGGGUCCGACAAAGUCAAACUCCAAAUUGGUUAUCUAGAAGCCAAGGUCUCUAUUUGACAUCUGCAAAGACAGAAUUGAAGGCUGGGGAUGCCAGGAUCACUGUGGCUUCUUUCCUCUCCCAUGGGCUGAGCGGUGAUGGAGGAGGCAGAGGAAGACAUGGAAAGAAAGUGGAAGAGGUGAUAGUGGAAUGGGGUCAAAACCCAGUUCACCAUCCACGACAGCUGAUGGAACAAACCUGGGUCGGCAACACAACAUCUCCUGGGCUCCAUUUUAUCAUUGCUAAGUUGGAAAGAGGGAGGACUUGUCAGAGCCCUCACUGGCAACUGCGAGAGAACCCCAGACCCACACCCCUGGACCUCAAAGGCGAGUGAACACAGUCUCGGGAGUUGGACCUUUAGAUCCAACAACUCCAUCUGAUGACUUAGAAGUCCCUUCAAUCCAACACUGGCGACCAGCAAGGCUGGUUUGUCUUGUUCUAAUUAUUAUUUAGGUGACUAUUUGGCUCAUUCCUGAGCAAGGCUUGAAUCAAGUUGGACCUGUUAAUUGUAUCAAGGUUAUAUAAUCAUAUUUUGGCAUUUAAAUGAAAACCAAUUAUGUUGGAGCCAAAGCAUCUUAUACACAAGGAGGGAGUUCUAGUAAGUGUCAGAAAUGUAUGCUAAUGUACAAAGCCUAACCCCUAAAGUCGGAGGGUGGAGCACUCCAGGGCACUCCUGUUUCGAUGAGGUUGAUGUAAUAGUUAUUGCUCUGAGCACAUUCUGGGAGGAUGCUGGAAACAUCUCAAACAAGUGUGACAUCGACGUUACCCCAGCUUGUCAAACCCAUUACAUUUGGAACAUGGCUCUCUGUAACAUCUGACUUGGCUUAUAAAUGCAUUAUCAGAAUCUGUAGGAGGCAUUGCAAGGAGGCCUCCCUUGACCUUUCUGGUUAUCAGCAUUCCCUCCUCCUCUCCCUUGACAAACAUAUGCCAUAGGGCCCGAUUAGGCAUCUAGGCUUUUCACUUGCGCGUCUUUCUAGUUCUCAGUCUCAGCUCCAAUGCUUCUAAAUCUUUUACUCCUCAAAUAUUGGCCCCCUCUACAAAGAGAGACAAAAGCAGGGAAGGGGAAGUGGAAAGGUCGUUGAUGAGUUGUUAUGGGGACUAGCAACAUAAAGUAAUGCAUCAGGAAGAAGGUAUCAGACUCAAGUUUGAAGUGUUUGUCUCUAAACUCCCUAAAACUCAUCCAAGCUAAUAACUUCAGGGGGCCUCUAGCCCGCAGCCAGCAUAUUCUGCCCUCUCACUUGGAGGCUGAGGGACCAGAUGCCCGGUUUCUGCCCAAUGUUAAGAACUGACCUGGCAGGCUUUGUCCAGAUCACCCAGCCCCAAACACAACCAGAUGCCAUCGCUGGAGAUGGCGCACUCCCAGAGGAAGCUCUCGUUCUUUGUCUAGGUCACUAACACAAAAUCAACAGGUGCCUUUGAGGAGGAACAUUCUAAGGAGAGUUUCAUCUUCACUACCGUCCUGGCUAGGGAACCCUUCCAGACUCGGAGUUGCAAAAGUCAGGGAGGGGCCACUCCCUGGAGGUGGAGUCCUUGGGGCAGGUUUCAUUGUGAACACGUGGCUGGAAUGUAGGUGGGCAGGCAUGCUAGUGUGCCUUGUAUGCAGCCUCCAGCCAGAGGACACUGACUUCAGCAAGGCUAAAUGAAACAGCAAGCUGGUUUUUUCAAAUAGGCUUCAUUAGACCCACAGAGGACCAACCUGAAGCUUAACUUUGGACUAUGCUUUUCUUGCCAGUAAUUAUAUUAAGUGAUUCUAUCUGGAACUGAAGGUCUUGAUAGACUUCGGUAUGGUUUCUCAGUCUUUCAAGAGUCAGCUAUCAAGGGCUCAUACUUAUCCCAGAUCAGCCCUUACCCCCUUUCUCCCAGGGCAUCUGUGACACAGAUAAACCCAUGACAUCUAGCAGGGCUGGCAGGGCUAUUAAGUUGAGGUGGCAACGUAGGUGUUAGCACGUCAGAGCAGAUCUGAGAAAACCUUCCAAAGCAACCCUUCCACACUGGGAACUCAACCCCUAAGGAACAAUCAAGAUAAGGACAACGUCUGUCUCACCUCUCAGAGGGAAGUGCAGGGUCGAGGCCGUGCCUGCUGUGCGCCGGAGCUCAGGGAAGAGGGAGGCUCAGCUGGGACCUGCUCAUUCACUUGAUGGACUGCCAUGAAAUUUACCUUGGAGAGUAGGGCAUGUGAAGUGGGGAAGAAAACUGCAUCCCUGCCCUGAGAUCUGGGAUGGUGGCUGUAGCCCCCAAGAUGCCUGCAGAUGUGAAUAGUGGCUUCAUGCUGCAUGGCUUAAGGACAGUUGUCUCAGGCCUAAACUCACUUGCAUUAUUCACUCUGACCAGGAGCUAUUUUCAGAUGACAUAGAUCCCCAGGAGGCACUUGCCUCCUGCCUGUGACACUUCUAAGAGUGACUCUUGCCACAUGACUAUAGCGACAAGCAAAGCUUUUCUCCAAUGAUGUCAGUGAGAUUUCUAAACUUCCCAGAAGGAAGAGGCUGUGACUGGGAAUACAGACUUCCCAGUGUAUCUCGCUUCUUAUACUCCCAGAUUUGUAGGCAGAAAAGGAAAUCUUAGAAUGUUGGUUUUAAAAUAAAAAGAAAAAUGCUUUUCAAAUUAUGGAAUCUGGCCCUCAGCAUUGCUAGUUUAAAGUAUGUGGUGUUUCUUCAGUGUCUAAAACGAGGUGGCCAGAUUCAAAACGGUUGUUUGGGAGCAGAUGUUUGAAGGGAGCUUAGAGGAGAAUAUCGGAGCCAUGAGUCUAUAGUCACCUUCUCAGCAGUGCUCUGAGGUCUUGGGUUUCAUAAAAAAUAAUCAUAAUUCCUCCCUUUAAGAAAAGUUGAAUUUAAUUGUAGUCUUUUCUACCUGAGGUGCUGUCCUCUAUCUCCUUAUUUCCCAAUCCUAUCCAUCUUUCACCUCCUUUCGUAAGUGUUCCAUGAUUGACCCUAGUUGGAAUUUACCUCUCUCUCCUCUAACUCCAAUGGAACUUUAUCUACCCGUCUCUGAUGCCCAUUUUCCACUUUCUAAAGGUAAGUUAUGCACCUAUUUCAUAUCAAUAAGUUUCAAAAGAUUGAAAUCUUACCGAUUAUGUUCUUUGACCACAAUGGAAUUAAAUUAAAAAUUAAUAAACCACCUAGAUAAUCCUAAAUAUUUGGAAAUUAAAUAAUGCACUCAUUUUUUUUUUUGAG